AGUGAACGCUGGCGGUAGGCCUAACACAUGCAAGUCGAACGGCAGCACAGUAAGAGCUUGCUCUUACGGGUGGCGAGUGGCGGACGGGUGAGGAAUACAUCGGAAUCUACUUUUUCGUGGGGGAUAACGUAGGGAAACUUACGCUAAUACCGCAUACGACCUACGGGUGAAAGCAGGGGAUCUUCGGACCUUGCGCGAUUGAAUGAGCCGAUGUCGGAUUAGCUAGUUGGCGGGGUAAAGGCCCACCAAGGCGACGAUCCGUAGCUGGUCUGAGAGGAUGAUCAGCCACACUGGAACUGAGACACGGUCCAGACUCCUACGGGAGGCAGCAGUGGGGAAUAUUGGACAAUGGGCGAAAGCCUGAUCCAGCCAUGCCGCGUGAGUGAAGAAGGCCUUCGGGUUGUAAAGCCCUUUUGUUGGGAAAGAAAAGCAGCAGGUUAAUACCCCGCUGUUCUGACGGUACCCAAAGAGUAAGCACCGGCUAACUUCGUG
rnacentral:rRNA from 1 species